CGCGUAGGUAAUCUACCCUCUGGCGGGGGACAACAUUCCGAAAGGAAUGCUAAUACCGCAUAAGACCACGCUCACUACGGUGAAAGCGGUUAAAGGUGCCUCAAAGCACUACCAGAGGAUGAGCCUGCGUCCCAUCAGCUAGUUGGUGAGGUAACGGCUUACCAAGGCGAAGACGGGUAGCUGGUCUGAGAGGAUGAUCAGCCACACUGGCACUGGAACACGGGCCAG
rnacentral:rRNA from 1 species